rnacentral:rRNA from 1 species
UGCUUCAUACAUGCAAGUCGAACGAUGGUAGCAAUACCUAGUGGCGGACGGGUGAGUAACGCGUGGGAAUCUGCCUUAAAAUGGGGGAUAGCUGGCCGAAAGGCUAAUUAAUACCGCAUACGCGUAUAUCUCGACAGAGUUAUACGUAAAAGGAGUAAUCCGUUUUAAGAUGAGCCCGCGUCCGAUUAGCUAGUUGGUAGGGUAAUAGCCUACCAAGGCGACGAUCGGUAGGUGGUCUGAGAGGAUGAUCACCCACAAUGGAACUGAGACACGGUCCAUACUCCUACGGGAGGCAGCAGUAGGGAAUUUUACGCAAUGGGCGAAAGCCUGACGUAGCGACACCGCGUGAGCGAAGAAGCCCUUUGGGGUGUAAAGCUCUGUCAGCUGGAACGAAAAAAAUGACGGUACCAGCAGAGGAAGCAUCGGCUAACUACGUGCCAGCAGCCGCGGUAAGACGUAGGAUGCAAGCGUUGUCCGGAUUUAUUGGGCGUAAAGAGUUCGUAGGCGGUUUGUUAAGUCCGAUGUUAAAGAUCAGGGCCCAACCCUGGGAGUGCAUUGGAUACUGGCAGACUGGAGUGUGGUAGAGGUAAGUGGAAUUCCUGGUGUAGCGGUGAAAUGCGUAGAUAUCAGGA